UACGUAGGGUGCAAGCGUUGUCCGGAAUUAUUGGGCGUAAAGAGCUCGUAGGUGGCCUGUCGCGUCGGCUGUGAAAACUCGGGGCUCAACUCCGAGCUUGCAGUCGAUACGGGCAGGCUAGAGUUCGGCAGGGGAGACUGGAAUUCCUGGUGUAGCGGUGGAAUGCGCAGAUAUCAGGAGGAACACCGAUGGCGAAGGCAGAUCUCUGGGCCGUAACUGACGCUGAGGAGCGAAAGCAUGGGGAGCGAACAGG
rnacentral:rRNA from 1 species